rnacentral:lncRNA from 1 species
AGCCCACCUAGACCACCUUCUUCCUCUUCUCUCUUUUUCUCGUUCUCCCCUUCUCUCCCUCACGUUCUCUCCAGCGCCGCCGCUUCCUAGGCAGCGCCGGCGACCUCCCCUGCGCCGGCUGCCACACCCCACUCCGGCGACCCCUCUAGCCGUCGCCGGGCUGAAUCAGCUUCUUGGCUCCUCACUUCUCUGCCCCUAAGCUAACCCUAGCCUCUGACCUCUUCAACCUAAGAUGCAACCGGCGGCCAAUUCUGGCGAGAUAAGGAUUUAGGGAAGUUUCCCAGGCCCCUACCGCUGGUACCACCUCGAUUCCUCUCUUCUAUCUCCUUCUCCCUGAUCUCUAGUGUGUUGUACUGGUAAGGUGUUCUUCCCCCCUUGUGUGGUGAUAUACUGUGACUUGUGAUGUAUUGGGAAUAAUGAUGGACUAACACCAACGGUUAACUUGAUGACUCUAUGAUAUGGAUUGUGAUUACUGACUCUAGGGUUCUAGGUCAAUUUGUUUGCUAGGUGAAUGAUGCCUAUGAAUUGGUUCAUGAUGAAUGAAUAUUGACAUGAAUAAACCUAUGAAUUGCAUUACUGAAAUAAAAUCACACUAGCAUGAUUAAAUCCUUAAUUAUGUUAUAAAAUGGCAAUCAAAGUACUGAAAUUUGCUACAUACUAAUAAACUAACAUGAUCAGAUCCUUAUGUUGUCAUGCCGAAUAGUAAUUCAGAGGAUUAAUAUGGUUUCAUGAAUACAUGAUGCAUCAUGGUAGUAUCACUUAAGGGAUCUAAUGUCCUAAGAAUUAUAAAUCUUGAUUUUGAUGACAAAGUAUAUGAAUUACUGAAAUCACUGGUAAAUAAUGGUGUUUUGUGGCAUUGGUCUUAGCAAAGUUAUGCUGAUCAACUACUAAGGUUCAGAUUCUAAUGUUAUGCUCUUCUAGGACUUGUGAUUAGGACUCAUAGAUUUCUGUUUAUGGAUCUGCAUUUAUACAAAAGAUGUACUUGUACACUUGCUAUACAUAUUAAUUCUACAGAUUCGGUAUUACUUAUAUGAACUUAAUACAUUGGUUCAUUUUUUUAAAAACUGUUACAAUUCUCACUGUGGGAUAAAAUUUGUACUAAUCUACAUUGAUGAAAACUAAUAGAUGCUUACCCUAGUCUAAGAUCAUUUACUCUAAACACCCUGUUAUAAGUAAAUAUGCCUACUCUGUUUAUUAUACCAUAUGUUUAGAAUAAUUCUUGUACUGAACAUGCUGCUACAUGCUAUACAGGAUACUAAUAUAAACUACUUAUUUCCCUAAAGUAUUAUUGGAACUAGAGUCUGACUUGUUUAGGUUAUAACUAAUUCUAAUUAAAUAUGCACAUGUCAAUGUUAUGGCCUGUUUACAUGACUAGAAUCUGAAAGCUUAUAAGUUCACAUGCAUGAUUUGGUUCUUCUAUAUAUGCUCUAUUCCUAAAAUCUUAUGUCAUGAACACUAGUUGAUUUUAUUCAAAAAAUUUAGCUACAGAUGCUUAUUGUUACUAUUCAGAUUUCUUCUAUGAUAAUUUAUAUAUGUCAGGAUUUAAAGACAUGCACUUAUAUUUAACUUUAUCCCCAAAUUUUGUUACUUUUAUUCAUUUAGAAUUGCUAAGGUUUUUGGUCAAUAUGGAUGGUAUGUAUAUAUCUGCAUGAACUCUAGCUCUAACAAAUGCUGUUACUAUGAAUGCAGGAUCUACUCUCCUCCCCUAUUUUAAUUUUUGGUUACCUCUGAUGAUUCUACCGUGAUUGAAAAAUAUGUGGUUCAGCUCCUCCUUCAGAAAUCCAAGUCUUCUCUUCUACUGCUGCUCUUCUGGAUCUAAGGUGAUUUUGCUAGAACUGAGCUUCUCCACCUUGAGCUUGGUUGAUUGUUCCCCCUCUUGAACUGAACCCCCUGCUCUACUUGGAACUCAGGUAAUUCUCCUCCUUGGCUCUUGCUCUACUGGUAAUACUUGACUGCUUCCUGACAGGAUCUGCUACUGGUGAUUCUCUUCCUCCUCUUGAGACUAAUCCUCUUUCUUGAUUUUCGCUCUAUCUUGCUUCUUGACCUGAGUUUCAUCUCCUCCCAUAGUUGGAGUUCAUCCAAGAACUGAACACCUCUACUUUUCCUUCAGAUUUGGUUCACCACUCUCUGAUUGCUUGGCCAUGGUUACUACUACUUGUUGAUUCAUGUAUUGGUUUGAGCUGGACUUCAGUUGAGCUAUUUCUGUCCGGGUGGAGCUAACAUUCUAGCUGAUUUUCCUAAGCUUGGUUCUAUGAUUCUAACUACUACUGCCGCAGCUGCUGCUAUUGCUCUACUGCGGUAGGUGCUUGAGGUGGUUUUCCAGCCGAUGCAACCGAGGCUGGGGUUCACUGAAUAGUUUGGUUGAUAUAUAUGUGAAUUUGGUGAAGACUAGGUGACUCACCUACUUUAGUUUUGGUGGUUGUUUCACUGACUGACACCUAAGCAGUGCUUGAUCGGUGGAGUAAUGUGGGAUUUCACUAAAUUUUUCUAGUUACAUAAAUUCUGAUACAAUUAGGUACUUUUGCACUUGAGUCCCUCGGGGUCUCUAAAAUUGAAGUUUACUCUGAGAUUAGGGACUGAUUUGUAAUUGUUCUAGAACUCAAGAGUUUUUCUGAAAACUAAAUAAUUAUUGAAUCUUUGACUGAGAUGGUUCAGUUUAUGAUAUGAUAUCCAUAAGCACCAUGCAUAUGCACAAUAUAUGUGAUGCAUACUGUAUAAAAUUUCUAGAGAACAUGUAUGUAUGCAGACCUGUAGUGGUAAAUUGUAAAUAAAGAACUGUGAUUUCUACUGUGCACAUGUGUACCUCGCUGCAUAACAACUAAUCUACGCUAUAGUUUAACUAAAACUAAAUUAUCCCACUCCUCACCAGGUUUACUAACUAAAAAUAAAUCAAUGAUGCAUAUGGAUAUGACUUGAUAAAUAAAUAACAAGAAAACGAUCAAAAAAUCAUUUAAGAUCUAUAAUAGAAUAACAAUCAACAUAUUUAUAGGUCUUAUCCAGCAUCGUGGCUCAAUCGACACCGCUCUCAGCUAGUGUGACCAAGUCAUUAGCAUGGCUAAGACUAUAGCUAAAACCCGGGAUGUUACAAAAACUUUCUAUAUGAAAGUUGUUCUAAAAUAUCAUAUUAAUCCAUUUUUCAAGUUUGUAAUAAUUAAAACUCAAUUAACCAAACGUUAUUAUCACAUCGUUUUGCAUGAAACACUUAAUCUUUAUUUUUAUCUUCAUCUUCAGGUCAUUCAAACACCACCUAAAAGGGACUAAAAGUGCAUAUUGGGACUAAAAUCCAUUGGUCCCUCUUGGAGGUAACUUACAGGGACUAAAGUGGCAACCUCCUCUUCUCUCUUCCUUGGUCCAUGUGCUUUUAGUCCCUUUUAGUCCUUGGAUUUAAACAGUAAGGAACUAAAGUUUUUAGUCUAGGGACUAAAUGAUCCAAAUAGGGCCUAAUAAUUUGGCCUAAGAUGAUUAGAUUGACCAGGUCCAACACACAAAAGUCCACAAUUAAUAUAUCAUUUCUAGAAAUUAUAUUAAAAGUUAAAGCAAUUUAAUCAAGU